AUGAACGCUAGCUACAGGCUUAACACAUGCAAGUCGAGGGGCAGCAUGGUCUUAGCUUGCUAAGGCCGAUGGCGACCGGCGCACGGGUGAGUAACACGUAUCCAACCUGCCGUCUACUCUUGGACAGCCUUCUGAAAGGAAGAUUAAUCCAGGAUGGCAUCAUGAGUCCACAUGUUCUCAUGAUUAAAGGUAUUCCGGUAGACGAUGGGGAUGCGUUCCAUUAGAUAGUAGGCGGGGUAACGGCCCACCUAGUCGACGAUGGAUAGGGGUUCUGAGAGGAAGGUCCCCCACAUUGGAACUGAGACACGGUCCAAACUCCUACGGGAGGCAGCAGUGAGGAAUAUUGGUCAAUGGGCGAGAGCCUGAACCAGCCAAGUAGCGUGAAGGAUGACUGCCCUAUGGGUUGUAAACUUCUUUUAUAAAGGAAUAAAGUCGGGUAUGCAUACCCGUUUGCAUGUACUUUAUGAAUAAGGAUCGGCUAACUCCGUGCCAGCAGCCGCGGUAAUACGGAGGAUCCGAGCGUUAUCCGGAUUUAUUGGGUUUAAAGGGAGCGUAGAUGGAUGUUUAAGUCAGUUGUGAAAGUUUGCGGCUCAACCGUAAAAUUGCAGUUGAUACUGGAUGUCUUGAGUUCAGUUGAGGCAGGCGGAAUUCGUGGUGUAGCGGUGAAAUGCUUAGAUAUCACGAAGAACUCCGAUUGCGAAGGCAGCCUGCUAAUCUGCGACUGACAUUGAGGCUCGAAAGUGUGGGUAUCAAACAGGAUUAGAUACCCUGGUAGUCCACACGGUAAACGAUGAAUACUCGCUGUUUGCGAUAUACAGCAAGCGGCCAAGCGAAAGCGUUAAGUAUUCCACCUGGGGAGUACGCCGGCAACGGUGAAACUCAAAGGAAUUGACGGGGGCCCGCACAAGCAGCGGAGCAUGUGGUUUAAUUCGAAGCAACGCGAAGAACCUUACCAAGGCUUGACAUCCUCUGACGAUGAUAGAGAUAUCAUUUCCCUUCGGGGCAGGGAGACAGGUGGUGCAUGGUUGUCGUCAGCUCGUGCCGUGAGGUGUCGGCUUAAGUGCCAUAACGAGCGCAACCCUUGUUGUCAGUUACUAACAGGUUCCGCUGAGGACUCUGACAAGACUGCCAUCGUAAGAUGUGAGGAAGGUGGGGAUGACGUCAAAUCAGCACGGCCCUUACGUCCGGGGCUACACACGUGUUACAAUGGGGGGUACAGAGGGUCGCUACCACGCGAGUGGCUGCCAAUCCCCAAAACCCCUCUCAGUUCGGACUGGAGUCUGCAACCCGACUCCACGAAGCUGGAUUCGCUAGUAAUCGCGCAUCAGCCACGGCGCGGUGAAUACGUUCCCGGGCCUUGUACACACCGCCCGUCAAGCCAUGGGAGCCGGGGGUACCUGAAGUGCGUAACCGCGAGGAGCGCCCUAGGGUAAAACUGGUGACUGGGGCU
rnacentral:rRNA from 1 species